rnacentral:rRNA from 1 species
GCAGCGAUGCCGCGUGAGUGAAGAAGGCCUUUGGGUUGUAAAGCUCUUUCGUCGGGGAAGAAAAUGACUGUACCCGAAUAAGAAGGUCCGGCUAACUUCGUGCCAGCAGCCGCGGUAAUACGAAGGGACCUAGCGUAGUUCGGAAUUACUGGGCUUAAAGAGCUCGUAGGUGGUUAAAAAAGUUGGUGGUGAAAUCCCAGAGCUUAACUCUGGAACUGCCAUCAAAACUUUUUAGCUAGAGUAUGAUAGAGGAAAGUAGAAUUUCUAGUGUAGAGGUGAAAUUCGUAGAUAUUAGAAAGAAUACCAAUUGCGAAGGCAGCUUUCUGGAUCAUUACUGACACUGAGGUGCGAAAGCAUGGGUAGCGAAGAGGAUUAGAUACCCUCGUAGUCCAUGCCGUAAACGAUGUGUGCUAGACGUUGGAAAUUUAUUU